GCAGUCGAACGGCAGCGCGGACUUCGGUCUGGCGGCGAGUGGCGAACGGGCUGAGUAAUACAUCGGAACGUACCCAGAAGUGGGGGAUAACGCAGCGAAAGUUGCGCUAAUACCGCAUACGUUCUACGGAAGAAAGUGGGGGAUCUUCGGACCUCAUGCUUUUGGAGCGGCCGAUGUCUGAUUAGCUAGUUGGUGGGGUAAAGGCUCACCAAGGCGACGAUCAGUAGCUGGUCUGAGAGGACGACCAGCCACACUGGAACUGAGACACGGUCCAGACUCCUACGGGAGGCAGCAGUGGGGAAUUUUGGACAAUGGGCGCAAGCCUGAUCCAGCAAUGCCGCGUGAGUGAAGAAGGCCUUCGGGUUGUAAAGCUCUUUUGUCAGGGAAGAAACGGCUCCGGCUAAUAUCUGGAGCUAAUGACGGUACCUGAAGAAUAAGCACCGGCUAACCACGUGCCAGCAGCCGCGGUAAUACGUAGGGUGCAAGCGUUAAUCGGAAUUACUGGGCGUAAAGCGUGCGCAGGCGGUUUUGUAAGUCUGUCGUGAAAGCCCCGGGCUCAACCUGGGAAUUGCGAUGGAGACUGCAAGGCUUGAAUCUGGCAGAGGGGGGUAGAAUUCCACGUGUAGCAGUGAAAUGCGUAGAGAUGUGGAGGAACACCGAUGGCGAAGGCAGCCCCCUGGGUCAAGAUUGACGCUCAUGCACGAAAGCGUGGGGAGCAAACAGGAUUAGAUACCCUGGUAGUCCACGCCCUAAACGAUGUCUACUAGUUGUCGGGUUUUUAAUUAACUUGGUAACGCAGCUAACGCGUGAAGUAGACCGCCUGGGGAGUACGGUCGCAAGAUUAAAACUCAAAGGAAUUGACG
rnacentral:rRNA from 1 species